CCUCUCGCUUUCCUGUCUCUCUCUCUCUCCACAAAACACCGCCGCCGCCGCCACCGCCGAUUCCUCCUGGGCAUGGCCGUCUCCGGCGCCGCCAUCAAUAGACGGGACUCCACCUCGCCCCACUCUACCAAUUUCCCGCCCUAGCCGCUGCUCUACGCCCCCGCUUGCGCCCGCACAGGUAACCCUAGAGAGUAGAUCGUGGGGGAGGAUGGAGAAGAGGUCAUGGGGGAGGAAGAAGAGGAGGACAUGGAGGCCACGGGGGAGGAAGAAGAUGGCCCCCUCAUUCCCGAAGUUGGUCUUCGCAUCAACUGCGCUCGCUCCGCCUCUGCUUCCAGCGACCACGCCCGCCACAGUCUGUCACACAUAUCCAGUUGGAAUGCUAUGGCAGGGUUAUUAGCCAGGCAUGAGGCCUUUUGUCUUCUUAAAAACUAUUUGGUUGGAAUGAUUGACGUGCCACGCCACCGCUGCACUGAAUAACAGCGACGACGGCUAGUGAGCAGCAACCUGAGGUGCCGGUGUUAAGCGCGGAUGGCCAGAUCUGUGCGGCGGAGGGUGUGGCCGGUGCUGGGAUGGAGGUCUUGAUGCCGGCCUCCAAGCAGUCGGUAGGCGCAAUGGAUCCUAAAGUUCCAGGAUGGAUCAAAAGGGUGAGGAUUGGGGUGGAAGCACCUGUGAGGACACCUUGUCCCAGUCAAGCACGAGCUGGCGGUGGUGACGCCGCAUACGUUAUCCAGGAUCCUGCUCAGGGGUUUAGCCAUCGGCGACGAGAUCCAAAAGAUGGCCACGGCAGCAGUGGUGGCGGCAGUUGCCCCGGGUGGUGAUGUAGAGGGGAGGUACCAGUAGCAGGUAAAUGGAUGACUCUUCUUCUUGGAGCCCCAGGUUGUGGCAAAAAUCCCUAUUGCUAGCACUUGCAGGAAAGCUCAACCAAAACCAAAAGAUGUUCAUGGUAAGGCGCGACCGUUGGUGGAUUUCUGGUGGUACCUCAAGGAGACCUUCUUCCCAGGUGACCCAUUCCACGUGGCGGUGCCGGUGUGUGAGCGAGCUGCCAGACCGCACGUGGCGGCGGCGCUUCGAUACUUCUUCCCGUUCCUAGAGUGGGCGCCAGCCUACGGGCUGGGCACCUCAAGUCGGACCUCAUCGCCGGUACUUCUUCUGGUUCCUUGAAGUUUGAUAUCCAUGCCCCCCUUGUUAGAGCGGUCGAGAGAGAUGCGACAUGGAGUGAGGGAACUAUCAGGACCGGCAUAAGAGGUUGAUCUCCGCCCCGGUUUCCUCUAUGAUUACAUCAAGGAUGUAUUUUGUUGCUUGUUGGUUCUAUGUGCGGGAGCUCGAUGAUUGGGGGAGUUUAGAUCUGUGGUUUCAUUCUCAAAUUCUAUUCGUAUGGAUUGAGAUAUAGAUGAGAAGGUUUUAUUACUAACCAGAGGAAGUUUCUUCUCCCACUUCAUCAAGGAAGAACAAGCUUCCAGUGGCGGAGCUUGACCAAGUUCCUUGGGGGGGGCCAAAUAAAAUAUACAAGCUAGUUGGGGGGCCAAACACACAAAACUCUAUAAUCUAAGCUCUUUCUCCAAAUUAUUUAAGCCUGCAUGUGCCAAUCUUGGGGGGGCCACAGCCCCCCAGCAAUGCACUAAGCUCCGCCGCUGGCAGCUUCAUUCGGAUUUAUGUGAAUAUAAGCGUAAGAGGUCCAUAGGGAAUGAUACAAAAUAAUUUCAGACGUGAGUAUCCGGAUCGCAUUGCUACUGGUCGUCUCUUGCAAUUGCGUGCAACGGGCUUUUGACAAAGCCAAGUCAUGGCCUCAUGAGGAUGCUUUUGGAUUAACUGUAGUGCAUUGUACCGUUUUAUGCUCCAUGCCAGAGUUGUACAUAUCCUCAUUAGAUGUACCCCUGCCUAUGAUGGUUCUGAACUCUAUUAUAGUAUCUGUAUAUUUGAUCAAUGUGGUACUAUUAUAUCCUAAUGUUAUAACAUAUAUGCCCG